GUCAGGGGUUCCACCACCAUCCAGGCCAGUUGGUGCAGCUUCCUGUUUCACCUUUCCUUUCUUAUGUACCCAUAUAAAAGUAAUUGUAAAGAAUAUUCUUUAAAGGGAGUGAACAGAAUAAGCAUGGAAGAUGCUAAAAAUCAAAGGACAGAUUUAUUACAUUCAAUGACAGCUUCAAGGAAGUGAUAUCUAAUACAAAUGGAUAUAAAUGUUUGUAAUGUAUAGAAAAUUUCAAUACAAACUUUUAAUCUCACAGAGGCAUCCCAAAUCAGUUUCUAAGGCCUAGUUUAUCUUGAGGCUCUUAGAAAUUGACCCCACCUUAUGAUGGAGCACAACCAGUGUCAGAGUUUCUCCUGUAACCCUCCUCAUUCCCCACAACACUUUUCUUAAGGCACACUAUCCACUUGCCUCUCUUGAUUGGAAACAUUGAAGCAUGGUACUGAUGGAGUGAAGGGCUAGUCAUGUGAUAGAGCUGCAGAGAGAACUCAGGUCCUAGAAAGAAAUGCAGCUAGCUGCUGGAUGCUGGAUGCUGGAUGCUGGAUGCUGGAUGCUGGAUGCUGGAUGCUGGAUGCUGGAUGCAGGAUCUCCUCUUCACUUGCUGUCCUCCAAGGACCCUGACUAGGCAUACUCCACUAUAUAACCUCACAGGCCUGUUGGCUUUGGAGCAUGAACAAGAGUCUGAAUUACAAUCUCCUGAUGCCUCUGAUAUGAAGAGUCCAUAGGAGUCUCAUAUGCUAAGGUCUCUGCCCUAUGGAGGGAGUUCUGAAACUUUGGAGACACUUCUACUUUGCUACUGGAUAAAAAUUGCCCUGGAGUCCUGCACAAUCCUCAUAUUUACCACUGAGAACACAGGAACCCAUUACUCAGCCCAGGUAUCUCACUGUUCUACUCCAACACAAAAGUGGGUGGCCUCAAUAGCAGGAAUGUUUUUCUCACUGUUCUCACAGUCUGUUCUGAGGUCUGUGGCCCCGAUGAGGCCCCUGUCUCCAGCCUACAGAUGACUGCCUUGUCAUUGUGUCCUCAUAUGCAAGAAAAGAAUCUCUGAUUUCCUUUCCUUUUCUGCAGGAGCACCAAUCCCGAGUUCUGACCUCAUGACCUCAGUGACACCUAAUUGUCUCCCAAAGGCUCUCUAAAUACUGCCACACCAGAGGUAGGACAUCUACACUUGAAUUUUUGGAGGACUCUCAGUCCCUAGCAGGUCCAUUUCUAAUUCCUCAAGAACAGCCUCGAAAGCACUUUCAGUGGUAAGCAAUUAUUUCAUUCACACCGGUCAUCUCCAUCUCUUAAAGACAGAAUUGUCCCACUGGUAUCUAGGCUUAUGCAAAAAUGGCUCUCAGAAUACAUCUGCAGGAAAGAAUAUAAAAGCAGAAACCAAU
rnacentral:lncRNA from 1 species